AGCAUGGUCUUAGCUUGCUAAGGCCGAUGGCGACCGGCGCACGGGUGAGUAACACGUAUCCACCUCUUGCCGUCUACUCUUGGACAGCCUUCUGAAAGGAAGAUUCUUACAAGAUGGCAUCAUGAGUUCACAUGUUCACAUGAUUAAAGGUAUUCCGGUAGACGAUGGGGAUGCGUUCCAUUAGAUAGUAGGCGGGGUAACGGCCCACCUAGUCUUCGAUGGAUAGGGGUUCUGAGAGGAAGGUCCCCCACAUUGGAACUGAGACACGGUCCAAACUCCUACGGGAGGCAGCAGUGAGGAAUAUUGGUCAAUGGGCGCAGGCCUGAACCAGCCAAGUAGCGUGAAGGAUGACUGCCCUAUGGGUUGUAAACUUCUUUUAUAAAGGAAUAAAGUCGGGUAUGUAUACCCGUUUGCAUGUACUUUAUGAAUAAGGAUCGGCUAACUCCGUGCCAGCAGCCGCGGUAAUACGGAGGAUCCGAGCGUUAUCCGGAUUUAUUGGGUUUAAAGGGAGCGUAGAUGGAUGUUUAAAUCAGUUGUGAAAGUUUGCGGCUCAACCGUAAAAUUGCAGUUGAUACUGGAUAUCUUGAGUGCAGCUGAGGCAGGCGGAAUUCGUGGUGUAGCGGUGAAAUGCUUAGAUAUCACGAAGAACUCCGAUUG
rnacentral:rRNA from 1 species